rfam:Rhizopogon vinicolor AM-OR11-026 unplaced genomic scaffold K503scaffold_15, whole genome shotgun sequence.
UGCCCCAUGGCUGAGCUGGUUACAGCGUCCGACUGUUAAUUAUCUCGGCAUCGGAAGGUCGUGAGUUCGAUCCUCACUGGGGCAG